AUUUUUGUGUCCAAGUUUAGUGCAAGACCAUGUGGGAAAAUUAAAUCCAAGUUAGUUAUUGGACCCUUUCUGCCUUUUCUUCAGUAGAGCAGAGGGAUGCUCAUGAAGUUCCUCAUCUGAGGCCCUUGGACUGGAAGGUGUGGCUUCCUAGAACCCAUCCAGGCUGGUGGGUUUGGAGGGUGAGGCAUUGGGCUUGUCUGAACACCGCUGUGUAAAAGCACCUGGAGAUGUUCUGGCACCAAAGGAGCUCUGGGUGAGGCAUUGUGCUUCAGAGAGUUACACAGGAAAUGCAGAGUGAAGGAAGCGAAGACCUGAGCACAGCAUUUGGUGUCCUCUCCAACUCCCAGGACGUGACCUCCAGAAUCUGCUGCUGAACAACACAGAAAUCACAGAAAAGGGAACUGGCUCUGCCACUUCAGAACCGGCACAGGAUUUGCAAGGCAUCUCAGCACACCUGCACGUGCACACAAACAUUAUCCUGCUGCUGUUCCUGCUAACUGCCUGUGCGUGCUCAGGCCAGCGUCGCUCGGCAUAAACCUCAGACGUAACCAUGGCUACAGAACAACUGGCAAUUACAAAAUUUCCUCCAUUUUUUAAUGUUACACUAAUUAUGUUUGAAUGUGUUUUAAUGAAGAAAGGAAUCGAGGAGAUGAAACAGUGUUCUCUGCAUGAGGAAGAGUGGGGGUGAGAGCCUGUGUCUCCUGUCUGUGGCAGCCUGGAAUUCAAGCCCAGGGAAGGUGCAGAGCAUCUUGAAAUCAGGUGGUGUGCCUACAAGUACGUGGUGCUUGCACCAGCACGUGAAAAUACGUGGAUUAAAAUUUAGAAUCCCAACAAUAACAACAAAAAAAGGCCAGGCCUGCUCGUAACAUUGGGGAAAACAAAUCGCAUCUUAAAUUGAACCUUAUUUCAAGACUAAAAGAUGGCUGCUUGUUCUGCAGCGCCAUUGCUUGGGAUACCCUGCUAGCCGAAGGUGAAGCUCCAAAUCUUAAGCUGGUUUUGAAGAAUCAUACAAUUAUAGAAUGCUUUCAGUUGGAAAGGACUUUGAAAACCACCCAGUUCCAACCCCCUUGUCAUGGGCAGGGACAGCUUCCACUAGACCAGGUUGCUCAAAUCCAUAUCCAGCCUGGUCUUGACCAUGCACUUCCAAGCAUGUGACAUCCGCAGGUUCUUUGGGCAACCUGUUCCAGUGCUUGACCACUCUCUGUGGAAAAACUUCUUCCUUAGCUUUUGUUCAGUUAUGAUUUUGUGUGAGAAAUGCUUUUCUUUUGUUCUGCAUGGUAUGAAAUAUAUGGAGUGUGUGAGGUGAUUUCCAUGCUUGUACCAUGUGUAAAAUGUUUUAAAAAAAUUGUUAUUACCUAUUGUGCUCUCAGCACAAUGGUAACAAUGGUCUGGCAUGUCUGCUUGUGCUCCAUCUCUGGCUGUGUAUUAUCCAAAAUUCUAGGUCAUGCCAAAAAAAUUGACUGAGGCCAGUAAGCCCUUGCACAUGGGUACCUCCUGAGCCAGCUGAGGUGUGGGAGGCAUGUUCCAAAUGCUCUUUUUUGAUUUUAAUGGCCUAAUGGAGGAACACAUUCUGCCACCCAAAUUAUUCAUCAGCCUCAGAGGUUUCCAUCAGCAGAACCUAGUGGAUGUCCUGCCAGGGUAUGGUUGCAUCUGGGUCUUGUGCUGGUGUUGGUGCCUUCAAACAGGGCAAGAUGAGACAAACACAAGUUAGAAGGAGAAUAGCACUUCUGGCAUUUUGAGCUGGGGUCACAGGGCUGCUGUGCAACAGGUGUGGGUGUUUGACUGUGGGGCUUUUUAAUAAGACCUAUUUGGUUCUAUUUUACCUGGGGGGAGUCAAGGAAAAAACUCGAGCAAACAACAUUUUGCAUCCUACUGCUCCAUCUUCUCUGCUAACCUGGUAAUUUAGCAUGCAUGCACACCCACUGCUGAAGGUGGGGUGGGGAUAGUGUUACAAAUUUCCUCGCAGCAGUGAGCUCUGGAUCCCAGCUGUGUCUUCAGCGGCAUGAGCCAGCUUGAUUAUGCUAAAGCACCCCUGGAUCCCUUCCUCUUUUGUUUCAGUCUACACAGGGUUUUAAAGCUUAAACAUUUGACAUGCUUGGGUAGUUUCUUCUCUAAUUUUAUCCCAGCUGACUGUGCAAUGAGUUUAACUCAGAGCCCUUAGGUGCAAGCCACUUUGCACAAUGUAUAUUAAACCUUAUAAAACUAGCCUGUAUGUCAUUAUCCAGAAUAUAAUUACCUAUAUUGGAAUUUGGCCAGGAUACUGGGGCUAAUAUUGUUAGCCUUGCAAAAAUUGGCGCGGGACUUUCUAAUGACCACAUGUGGUCAGUGCCAUAUGUUUGCAGCUCAUCUAAGGGAUGGUGUCUCUCACACAGCCAUGCCCCCUUGAAAUCACUUCAGGGCAGGAAAGCAAAAGCUCAGAGGCCAGACAGGAUGAGUUCAGAGACUGGUGACAUCUUUGAUGUGGAGCAGACACAGCUCUGUGGCAAGCCAGAGUGCUGAGUGGCCAGGAGCUCUCCCUGACCCAAAUUUCCAUGGUCCCUCCCUCUCUUCUGCCAGCCCUCAAGCCUUCACAGCCCAGCCUGGUGAGAAGGGUCUCUGCCCUUUCUGGAGAUGAAGUAUUUUACAUAAAGCUAUAUUUUUUUAUCACUCAUCACACAGGUGAUUUAAUCCACUCAACACACUACUUUUGACAAGGGUGGCCUAAACCAUAAACUCUGCUAGAAAUCUUGUAUAAAGCCCUUGUAUUUUUUAAAUUUCCUUGUGUUGUAUGUCAGACAGUCAUACCACGCCCUAACUGAGAAUGACCAUGCUUUAAAAUAAUUAAGCUAAUAUUAAUGUUCUCAUUAAAGGGAAAUCUCAUUUAAA